GGGCAACUGAUCUAGUGGUAUGACAUCAGCUCUUGUUGUACGGGCGUCGUUAGGGCCCCGUGAAAAUAAGUUGAAGAUUCGAGGUUCAAAUCCUUGGUCGCCCA